GGCAGUGUGGUUUAGUGGUUAGCACGUUCACAGCCACCUCCCGGGUUGUGGGUUCGAAUCCCGCCUCCGCCC